rnacentral:rRNA from 1 species
AGAGUUUGAUCCUGGCUCAGAUUGAACGCUGGCGGCAUGCCUUACACAUGCAAGUCGAACGGCAGCACGGGUGCUUGCACCUGGUGGCGAGUGGCGGACGGGUGAGUAAUGCAUCGGAACAUGCCCACUUGUGGGGGAUAACGCACCGAAAGGUGUGCUAAUACCGCAUAAGCCCUGAGGGGGAAAGCAGGGGAUCUUCGGACCUUGCGCAGGUGGAGUGGCCGAUGUCGGAUUAGCUAGUUGGUGAGGUAACGGCUCACCAAGGCGACGAUCCGUAGCUGGUCCGAGAGGAUGAUCAGCCACACUGGAACUGAGAACGGUCCAGACUCCUACGGGAGGCAGCAGUGGGGAAUUUUGGACAAUGGGGGCAACCCUGAUCCAGCCAUGCCGCGUGAGUGAAGAAGGCCUUCGGGUUGUAAAGCUCUUUCGGCCGGGAAGAAAUCGUGCAGUCUAAUACACUGUAUGGAUGACGGUACCGGAAUAAGAAGCACCGGCUAACUACGUGCCAGCAGCCGCGGUAAUACGUAGGGUGCGAGCGUUAAUCGGAAUUACUGGGCGUAAAGCGUGCGCAGGCGGUUUUGUAA